GACGAACGCUGGCGGCGUGCUUAACACAUGCAAGUCGAACGGAAAGGCCCUGCUUUUGUGGGGUGCUCGAGUGGCGAACGGGUGAGUAACACGUGAGUAACCUGCCCUUGACUUUGGGAUAACUUCAUGAAACUGGGGCUAAUACCGGCUAGGAGCUCCUGCUGCAUGGUGGGGGUUGGAAAGUUUCGGCGGUUGGGGAUGGAAUCGCGGCUUAUCAGCUUGUUGGUGGGGUAGUGGCUUACCAAGGCUUUGACGGGUAGCCGGCCUGAGAGGGUGACCGGCCAAAUUGGGACUGAGAUGCGGCCCAGACUCCUACGGUAGGCAGCAGAGGGGAAGAGUGCACAAUGGGAGGAAGCCUGAUGCAGCAACGCCGCGUGCGGGAUGACGUCCUUCGGGUUGUAAACCGCUUUCGCCUGUGACGAAGCGUGAGUGACGGUAAUGGGUAAAGAAGCACCGGCUAACUACGUG
rnacentral:rRNA from 1 species